GCUAUAUCAUACUGAAAUACCAGUUCUCACCUAAUCACUGAAGUUAAACAACAUCAAGCCUGGUCAGUACCUAGAUGGGUGACCACUUGAGAAAACUGGGUGUUGUAA